rnacentral:lncRNA from 1 species
GGCACCACCAUGAACAUCCUAUACGGUGACAAUGUCUGUAACCAAGGUGAUGUCGACUCCAUGAACAACAUCAUAUCCCACUACCUCUAUUACCUCGAUUUGAUGGGCGUUGGUCGGGAGGAAGCAGGGCCUCACGAUAUACUCACCUGCGCAGAACAAAAAUCUUUCAAUCCAUCCUCCACCUCAACUGCUUCUUCUUGAGACUUAACUUGGAUUUUCGACAGUCUGCAUUUGCUGCUUUAUCCUCAAAGAUUUUCGCAAAAGAAGCAUUAUCCAAUAAGUGGAGCGAGAUCGGCUUUGUCCUGCUCAUGGUGUAAACUGUGUAUUUGGGAGUCAUUAUAUAAGGAUUAAGGAUCUCGCGCUUUCUUGUUGUGUCUUAUUGAAGUGAAUUUUGAUCAUGUAAUUUGUGCAGUCGAUAUACUCACCUGUGCGGAACAAAUACCUUUCAAUCCAUCCUCCACCUCAACUGCUGCUUCUUGAGACUUAACUUGGAUUUUCGACAGUCUGCAUUUUCUGCUUCUCAACGUUUUUCACAAAAGAAGCAUAAUCCAAUAAGUGGAGCAAGAUCCGGUUGUCCUGCUCCCAGUGUAAACUGUGUGUUUGGGAGUCGUAUAUAAAGGAUUAAGGAUGUCACGCUUUCUUCUUGUGUCUUAUUGAAGUGAAUUUUGAUCAUGUAGUGUGUGCAGCGUUCGGACCGAGGGUCUAUCUGAAACAACCUCUCAAUUCCAUCAGGGUAGGGAUAAGGUUUCCGCACAUACUACCCUCCUCAGGCUUCACUUGCGGGAUUAUACUGAGUUGUUGUUGUUGUAGUAGCAGUUUAAAGUCUUGAUAUAUAAUAUGCAAUAUGAAAACUUCUCUCUAUUAUCUUUUCAACUGUUAAAAUAAAUAUGCAAAUAACAAAAGGAAAAGGAGGAAAAAGAAAAGGUUCUUUAGGGAGGAAGGAAGUUGUUGACAAUAACAUACGACUGUCCCUUUCUUUUACCAAGUUAAGGCAAUUCAAAAAAUAUUGUCAAGACAGUUUAUCCACUACUUACGUGAUUGUCCUUUUCUUUUACCAAGUUAAGACAUUCAAAAAGGUUGUCAAGACAUUUCUUCGGCUCUCUAUGAGUUUUAAUUGUUUAUGGGACUUUAGUAAGGAUUGUGUUCGGAUCAACUUGUGCACACCCUUUGUACUAUACUUACUAUCUUCAAUUUUUUUUAUUAUUUCACCUAUUUUUCUUGGACAUUUCAUUUUUAUAUUUGUUAUUAUUUUCGCAUAGGACGUGUUAAAAAUUAUGGUCAUCCUAUUCAUGAACAAGUUU